CAAAAUCCAGAAACAGAGACAGAGUGUGGUUAGAUAUAAAAUGGCAGCAGAUCAAAAACGCAGCAGCAAAUCCAAAGUGUAAAUUUACACAGGCACAUACAGGUCGUACACAGAAACAAAUCACCAGAGAACACACACACACACAAAAACUUACUUGGUCUGAGUUGUCGGCAAGGCUUUGCAGAGCUUUUUGCAAAAGUAAACUUGUCUUUUGUGAAGUGGAACCUUUGUUAAACUAAAUGGACGAACAUUUUCUUUCUCAUUAUGCUAUUUUUGAGUAGCAUGUACACCAGUCUGAUGGGACUUUUUCAUCUUCCGUCUAAUUUUGAGAGCUGCAGCCAAACGUUAAGAAAUCAGCUUGCUGUGUGAAACUGAGUACAGGUUCAUGGUUACUGUGAAGAGCUGUUUGUGUUUCAUCAGAACUUUAUAUACAGCUUGUACAGUUUUUAAGAUGUUUUAUUGACAUGUUGUAUUUUAAGUAAAUACUUCUGAAGUGAAAUAAAGAAAAAUAAUGUUA